rnacentral:rRNA from 1 species
AUACGGAGGGUGCGAGCGUUAAUCGGAAUUACUGGGCGUAAAGCGUGCGUAGGCGGUUUGUUAAGUCAGAAGUGAAAGCCCUGGGCUCAACCUGGGAACGGCUUUUGAGACUGGCAGACUAGAGUUGAGUAGAGGGGAGUGGAAUUUCCGGUGUAGCGGUGAAAUGCGUAGAGAUCGGAAGGAACACCAGUGGCGAAGGCGACUCCCUGGACCAAUAUUGACGCUGAGGUGCGAAAGCGUGGGGAGCAAACAGGAUUAGAUACCCUAGUAGUCC